GAUGAACGCUGGCGGCGUGCCUAAUACAUGCAAGUCGAGCGAAUGGAUUAAGAGCUUGCUCUUAUGAAGUUAGCGGCGGACGGGUGAGUAACACGUGGGUAACCUGCCCAUAAGACUGGGAUAACUCCGGGAAACCGGGGCUAAUACCGGAUAACAUUUUGAACCGCAUGGUUCGAAAUUGAAAGGCGGCUUCGGCUGUCACUUAUGGAUGGACCCGCGUCGCAUUAGCUAGUUGGUGUGGUAACGGCUCACCAAGGCAACGAUGCGUAGCCGACCUGAGAGGGUGAUCGGCCAAACUGGGACUGAGACACGGCCCAGACUCCUACGGGAGGCAGCAGUAGGGAAUCUUCCGCAAUGGACGAAAGUCUGACGGAGCAACACCGCGUGAGUGAUGAAGGCUUUCGGGUCGUAAAACUCUGUUGUUAGGGAAGAACAAGUGCUAGUUGAAUAAGCUGGCACCUUGACGGUACCUAACCAGAAAGCCACGGCUAACUACGUGCCAGCAGCCGCUGUAA
rnacentral:rRNA from 1 species